rnacentral:rRNA from 1 species
AACAACGGAUCUCUUGGCUCUCGCAUCGAUGAAGAACGCAGCGAAAUGCGAUAAGUAAUGUGAAUUGCAGAAUUCAGUGAAUCAUCGAAUCUUUGAACGCACCUUGCGCCCCUUGGUAUUCCGAGGGGCAUGCCUGUUUGAGUGUCA